rnacentral:tRNA from 1 species
UGUAGCUCAGGUGGACAGAGCAACUGCCUUCUAAGCAGUGGGUCGGGGGUUCGAGUCCCUCCA